ensembl:snRNA U6 U6 spliceosomal RNA
GUGCUUGCUUUGGCAGCACAUAUACUAAAAUUGGAAUGAUACAGAGAUUAGCAUGGCCCCUGCACAAGGAUGACACAAAUUCGUGAAGCAUGCCAUAUUUUU